rnacentral:rRNA from 1 species
AACGUAGGUUCCGAGCGUUAUCCGGAUUUACUGGGCGUAAAGCGCGUUCAGGCGGUUUGGCAAGUCGGGCAUGAAAUCUCUCGGCUCAACCGGGAGAGGUUGUCCGAUACUUCCAGACUUGAGGGCAGUAGAGGCAGGCGGAAUUCCGGGUGGAGUGGUGAAAUGCGUAGAGAUCCGGAGGAACACCGGUGGCGAAGGCGGCAUUCUGGACCAAUAUUGACGCUGAGGAGCGAAAGCCAGGGGAGCAAACGGG